GUUUAAACACCGGUUUCUAAACGAUCACCGAAGUUAAGCAACGUCAAGCCUGGUCAGUAUAUGGAUUGGUGACCGCUUGGGAAUACCGGGUGCUGUAAG